CACUUGGGCUGUCUCCUGUCGGAGGCGUACGUAUGUGUGUGUGUAACACACUGUAAGACUCUUACGUUCGUUUGAGUCGUCUAAGGAAGGGUUGAGGCGUUUGCCUGGCCACUUCCGCGUAGUGUUUAAUAUAUUUCAAGUGCUUGGCCGAAUCCGCUCGCCGGCCGAACACAUUGCAACACUUCCAAUCCGAUAAGCGAGUUAAAGGGGAAGGAACUCGAGUUAUCUCAUGGGAGGGGCUUGAUCUUUUUAAUGCGCACAUCAAAAAUAGCUCAUUUUUCCUUAUUAAGAUACCACGGGUUUUUGUGGUACUUGGUUUUAGUCCACAAUUCAAUAAAACACUUAAUGGCACCCUGACACACAGCAUGUAGGUAAUCCGGAAUUUCUGCCUUUACAUGAUAAAAGUCUUAAAACUGCAUAAGCGAAUUCGUUCCGCAAAUGCCAUGAUAAGGUUUUUUCGUUUCUAGCAAAACCUUUAAAAAAAUGUAAGCUUUAAGUCAAUCUAUAACAGAGUUUUCACACUAAAUUAU